AACGAACGCUGGCGGCAGGCUUAACACAUGCAAGUCGAACGCCCCGCAAGGGGUGUGGCCGACGGGUGAGUACCGCGUGGGAAUCUACCCAUCCCUACGGAAUAACGCAUGGAAACGUGUGCUAAUACCGUAUACGCCCUACGGGGGAAAGAUUUAUCGGGGAUGGAUGAGCCCGCGUUGGAUUAGCCUGUUGGUGGGGUAAAGGCCUACUAAGGCGACGAUCCAUAGCUGGUCUGAGAGGAUGAUCAGCCACAUUGGGACUGGGACACGGCCCAAACUCCUACGGGAGGCAGCAGUGGGGAAUAUUGGACAAUGGGCGCAAGCCUGAUCCAGCCAGGCCGCGUGAGUGAUGAAGGCCUUAGGGUUGUAAAGCUCUUUCACCGGAGAAGAUAAUGACGGUAUCCGGAGAAGAAGCCCCGGCUAACUUCGUG
rnacentral:rRNA from 1 species